GGCCAACCUUCAGAAUCCUAGGAGGCUCAUAAGGCAGCAAUCCAAGCACUCAUAAAGCUGCCUUCAGGCGAGCUUGUUACAGGUUCAAGUGAUACAACUUUAAAACUUUGGAGAGGAAGCAAAUGUACACAUACUUUUGUUGGGCAUACAGUGGGAAAGGAAUGCUUGCACUUUUGACGGAAGUGAGAUUGAUUCUUGAUUUGAAGUUGCUCUUCCGGACUUUAUCUAAGCGGACUAAUGCUUUGGCAUUCAUUACCAAUCUGACUGGUUUUGUAUUUAUCUUCACAUGAUUGAGAGUUGUGUUAUUUGCUUCAAACUUGGCUUUAUAAUAUGGCUUUAUAUAUCA